CCCCUUCUCCUCGGCGCUCUUUGCCCCUAUAUUCACCCCGUCGGCGACGGUCGACUAUGGCGAUAAACGGAUUGCGUAAUAAGCUCUUCGGACCCGGGGGCAGUACCCGGCGCCUCCACCCAAGCGACCCGCGGAGCGGGCCGUUUCGGCGGGGGCGAACCAGGAUCGACGAGGGUGUAAAGGCUCUUCUUUCGCUCGGUAUGGUACCACCGUUAUCGGACCAAACUUGUAGUUGCGAAUGACAACUAUGCCGAGGCCCGUCUCGCUGCGUAAUGCGGUGUGACACCUCAAUUUAAGUCCUCCUACCGCAAGUAGGAGGCGGGGUUUGGAGGCACCUGGCAACAGAAGCCUUCGCU
rnacentral:tmRNA from 1 species